UUGCUCACUUCAGCAGUACAUAUAGUAAAACUAGAACAAUACAGAGAUUAGCCUGGCCCCUGCACAAGGAUGACAUGCAUAUUCGUGAAGCCUUACAUGUUUAA